UACGAAGGGGGCUAGCGUUGUUCGGAAUUACUGGGCGUAAAACGCACGUAGGCCGACGUGUAAGUCAGGGGUGAAUUCCCGGAGCUCAACUCCGGAACUGCCUUUGAUACUGCAUGUCUCGAGUCCGGAAGAGGUGGGUGGAAUUCCUAGUGUAGAGGUGAAAUUCGUAGAUAUUAGGAAGAACACCGGUGGCGACGGCGGCCCACUGGUCCGGUACUGAAGCUGAGGUGCGAAAGCGUGGGGAGUAAACAGG
rnacentral:rRNA from 1 species